ACGGAAGGCAGCAGUAGGGAAUAUUGCACAAUGGGGGGAACCCUGAUGCAGCAACGCCACGUGUGGGAAGAAGCAUUUCGGUGUGUAAACCACUGUCGUGAGGGAAUAAUGCUUGGUUUCGGCCAAGUUGAAUGUACCUCGAAAGGAAGCACCGGCAAACUUCGUGCCAGCAGCCGCGGUAAUACGAGGGGUGCAAGCGUUGUUCGGAAUCACUGGGCGUAAAGGGAGCGCAGGCGGAGAUGCAAGCAGUCUGUACAAUACCGGGGCCCAACCCCGGACCUGCAGACUGGACUGUUUCUCCUGGAUAGUUCAGGGGCGAGCGGAAUUCCUGGUGUAGCGGUGGAAUGCGUAGAGAUCAGGAAGAACACCGAUGGCGGAGGCAGCUUGCUGGGGACUUAUCGACGCUCAUGCUCGAAAGUGCGGGUAGCAAACAGGAUUAGAUACCCUGGUA
rnacentral:rRNA from 1 species